GACGAACGCUGGCGGCGUGCCUAAUACAUGCAGGUCGAGCGCAGAAGGCUGGUUCUUGUACGGACUGGAUGAGGAGCGCACGGGAGAGUAACGCGUGGGGAAUCUGCCUUUGAGCGGGGGACAACAUGUGGAAACGAAUGCUAAUACCGCAUAAAAACUUGAAACACAAGGUUGAAGGUUGAAAGAUGCAAUUGCAUCACUCAAAGAUGAUUCCUCGUUGUAUUAGCUAGGUGGUGAGGUAAAGGCGCAUCAAGGCGAUGUUACAUAGCCGACAUGACAGGGUGGUCGGCCGGCGUGGGACUGAGACACGGCCCAAUGUGAUAGGGGAGGCAGCAGGAGGGAAUCGUCAGGAAGGGGUGAAAGUCUGAGCGAGCAAGGCCGCGGGAGUGAAGAGGGUUGCCGGAUCGUAAAUGUCUGUUGGUAGGGUGGAACGUUGGUGAGACUGGAAAGAAGAUCAAGUGACGGUAACUACUCAGGAAGGGACGGCUAACUACGUG
rnacentral:rRNA from 1 species